AGUGAACGCUGGCGGUAGGCCUAACACAUGCAAGUCGAACAGCAGCACAGUAAGAGCUUGCUCUUACGGGUGGCGAGUGGCGGACGGGUGAGGAAUACAUCGGAAUCUACUUUUUCGUGGGGGAUAACGUAGGGAAACUUACGCUAAUACCGCAUACGACCUACGGGUGAAAGCAGGGGAUCUUCGGACCUUGCGCGAUUGAAUGAGCCGAUGUCGGAUUAGCUAGUUGGCGGGGUAAAGGCCCACCAAGGCGACGAUCCGUAGCUGGUCUGAGAGGAUGAUCAGCCACACUGGAACUGAGACACGGUCCAGACUCCUACGGGAGGCAGCAGUGGGGAAUAUUGGACAAUGGGCGCAAGCCUGAUCCGGCCAUACCGCGUGGGUGAAGAAGGCCUUCGGGUUGUAAAGCCCUUUUGUUGGGAAAGAAAAGCAGCAGGUUAAUACCCCGCUGUUCUGACGGUACCCAAAGAAUAAGCACCGGCUAACUUCGUG
rnacentral:rRNA from 1 species